UACAGGGGGUGCAAACGUUGCUCGGAAUCAUUGGGCGUAAAGCGCUCGCAGGUGGUUCAUUGCGUCGUGCGUGAAAGACCCCGGCUCAACUGGGGAGGGUCGUGCGAAACGGGUGAACUAGAGGCCAGUAGGGGGAUGCGGAAUUCCGGGUGUAGUGGUGGAAUGCGUAGAGAUCCGGAGGAACACCAGCGGCGAAGGCGGCAUCCUGGACUGGUCCUGACACUCAGGAGCGAAAGCGUGGGGAGCGAUCCGG
rnacentral:rRNA from 1 species